UAAAUAAAGAGAGAAAAGCUGUGAUAAGAAGCCUUGCUUCUCAACCCUAUGGUUGUGAGUUCAGUCCCACUGCAUGGCACCUUGGGCAAGUGUCUUCUACUAUAGCCUUGGAUUGACCAAAGCCUUGUGAAUGGAUUUGGUAGAUGGAAACUGAA